ensembl:lncRNA
GGAGAUGAGAGAGAUGUGGGUUGGCAGACCACUACAUUGCUGCCUGCUAUAUGAUGAGGGAGAUGAGAGAGAUGUGGGUUGGCAGACCACUACAUUGCUGCCUGCUAUAUGAUGAGAGAGAUGAGAGAGCUGUGGGUUGGCAGACCACUACAUUGCUGCCUGCUAUAUGAUGAGAGAGAUGAGAGAGCUGUGGGUUGGCAGACCACUACAUUGCUGCCUGCUAUAUGAUGAGAGAGAUGUGGGUUGGCAGACCACUACAUUGCUGCCUGCUAUAUGAUGAGGGAGAUGUGGGUUGGCAGACCACUACAUUGCUGCCUGCUAUAUGAUGAGAGAGAUGUGGGUUGGCAGACCACUACAUUGCUGCCUGCUAUAUGAUGAGGGAGAUAUGAGAGAUAUGUGGGUUGGCAGACCACUACAUUGCUGCCUGCUAUAUGAUGAGAGAGAUGUGGGUUGGCAGACCACUACAUUGCUGCCUGCUAUAUGAUGAGGGGG